rnacentral:lncRNA from 1 species
UAAAUCCAAAUCAUUGACCCUAAAUCUUAGCCCAAUUACAGUGUGGCCCAAAGUAAAAAUUUUCAAAGGAUAGUAGCAACCCUAGCAGUUAGCAGCAUCUCAGCCACCGCAGCAACUGCCCAUCGCCCCACGUCGCACCUUGCCCAUGUUCAGCAACGGUUCCAUCACCCCACGACGCAAUCACCCACGAUCAACGAUCCCUUGCGUCUACUAUGCACGUUCG